GUUCUUUGUGCCCUGAGUUAGCGAGUUGCACUGUGUUACUGUGUGCGGAAACUCCUGCAAAAAAACCCACUGGACAUAAUGCUGUGGUGCCGGAGUCCUGCGUUUGGGUUCAGCCCCGCACCGGAGCAGAGAACUACUUCAGGGUGUACCCCGCCUCCUACCCGAAGAUAGCUGGCAUGGGGUCCAGCACGCCUGCAACUCUUGUGAGGAUAAGCAGUUCAGAUAAUGGAUGGAUGGAUUUGACUUGGACAACCAGCUUUGUUGUGAGGGGAACUAGCCUUUUAGUGGGAGCACUCAGAGACGGCCAGCAGAGAGCGACUGUUCUUUUCUGUUGGAUGAGCUCGUGGCGGUUCUUUGUGCAGACAUGGAAGGUGGCUGGGCAGAAGCAGCAGCGGGCGAG